GGGGGCGUAGCUCAGUUGGGAGAGCGCUUGCAUGGCAUGCAAGAGGUCGUCGGUUCAAGCCCGAUCGUCUCCACUA
rnacentral:tRNA from 1 species